GAUGAACGCUGGCGGCGUGCCUAAUACAUGCAAGUAGAACGCUGAAGGAAGGAGCUUGCUCUUUCCGGAUGAGUUGCGAACGGGUGAGUAACGCGUAGGUAACCUGCCUGGUAGCGGGGGAUAACUAUUGGAAACGAUAGCUAAUACCGCAUAACAGUAGAUGUUGCAUGAUAUCUACUUAAAAGGUGCAAUUGCACCACUACCAGCUGGACCUGCGUUGUAUUAGCUAGUUGGUGAGGUAACGGCUCACCAAGGCGACGAUACAUAGCCGACCUGAGAGGGUGAUCGGCCACACUGGGACUGAGACACGGCCCAGACUCCUACGGGAGGCAGCAGUAGGGAAUCUUCGGCAAUGGACGGAAGUCUGACCGAGCAACGCCGCGUGAGUGAAGAAGGUUUUCGAAUCGUAAAGCUCUGUUGUAAGAGAAGAACGAGUGUGAGAGUGGAAAGUUCACACUGUGACGGUAUCUUACCAGAAAGGGACGGCUAACUACGUG
rnacentral:rRNA from 1 species